CUCUGGUGGAUUCAUGUAAUGUAAGUAACCUGUGUUGAUUGAGUGGUUGCUUUCCUCUUUCAGUGUGUAUCAGGCCAGUCUGGGACUGCUCAUCAUGGCAGGUCUGGAGCUGCUGUUUCUGCUGGUGGCUGCGGUGGAUUCACAAUCGACAACCAGUGCUGGUCAACACUUCUUGCUUGUCUACCCUGAAAAUAUCGCCUACUACUACACGGUGCCGCCGGCCCAUGCGGUGUACAUCACUGCCCUGCAUGGAGACACGACUGUUCACAUCAAGCACACUUACAAGAGUGAUGAUGUGAGAACACUGGCGGCUGGAGUCGUCGAACAUGUCCGACUUGACCAAAGGCUGGAGCUCGGAAAUACUGAGAUCUCAGACAACGUGGUUCGCAUUUUCAGCAACAAGGACAUCCUUGUCCAAUCUAUAGGCGGCAAGUCCAACAGUGUGCAGAGCAGUCUGGUUCUUCCAAGUGACAAACUGGGAAAACGCUACAUCGUUCCUCAGCUGAGUAGAUUCACAGGCACGAAUCAUCAGCUGGACAACACCGUGGCGACAGAGAGAGGUCCUUAUCGCGCGGUUGUCAUCAACACUGGCGAAGCCAACAACGUCACACUGGAAGGUUUGGGCCAGACAACAGAACUGGCACCAUACAAGGCCCUUCAGAUCUUCCUGGACCCGGGUACAGAUCUGCAGGCGGUGUCAGCAGACAAGCCUGUGGUGGUUCUGCUGUCCCACACCUGUGGCAUGAAGGAAGACUGCUCCUGUGAGUUCAUCUACACCGCCCUGGAGCCUGAGAGCUCCGUCCCACACACCUUCCUUGUCCCUCCAUUCCUUGCUGACGGCGCAGAAAAUGAUUCGCUCGUCAUUCUGACCGACAGCAGUUCCACCAAAAUCAGCACCUACGACUCGGAUUCUCCCAAGUUGAGUGUCACUGGCAGCGCCAUCUUCUACCGGCCCGGCUUGCUCCUCACGCUCAUCCCUGAAAGCAGCUUUGCAUCCUGUUUUGUGAUCCGUGGGUAUGAAAACCUGGAAAACUUUGGUGUUAUUGUGGUACACAAGGCUCAGACUGAUGGGGUGCGACUUGGAAAAGACUCUCUCGGCAGUCCUGACUGGCAACAGAUCAGUGGAACAGAUUAUGUUUCCGCUGCAAUUUCUCUAGCGGCAGACAAGAACGUCCUCUGGCACAGCUCUUCCAUCAUGGGCGUCUACCAUAUUGCCAUAACAACUGACCAAAGUGUGUUUGGGAAUCAGGCUCCCAUCUUGAGUAGAAUACCAGAUUACCGUGGCUGUAUUGUGAAUCCGGAGGGGUUUGAAAUCGGCACAGAGCCCGAUGGCUGGCGAGAGUCCGUCGCCUACUGCAAAAACAAGCAGCACGAGCUGGUCAGCUUCCCAGAUGCUGAGUUCAGGCAGCAUCUGCAUAAAAGAAUCUCAGAGGAAAAGGGCCGCGACCUGCAGCGGGUGUGGAUCGGGAUGAGACUUCGCUUGCUGAGCGGAGACUUCUACUGGCUGAACAAGGAGCCGCUCACAGAGAUGGACUGGUGUGAAGGAGAACCUCAGUAUGAAAAAGGCCACUGCGUUGCCAUGAACGUGGAAGACUUCGGCUGGACGACUGAACACUGCUGCAUGGAAGCCAACCCUGUCUGCUACAAAGAGCCGGUUCUGCUUCCCAUCUAGCUCUUUGGCUAAACAGCCGUCCACUCCGAGUAGCUGCUGUUGUGUCCCCUUCUCUGUGUUUGCCAUUCCUAUUGACUCCUAAUGACUCAGAGUUUGUAGUGAUACGUUGUUUCAUGAAAGUGUAUAUCACGCUGUAUCUGUUAGUCAAAAUAUAAUCUGAAAAUCAGGAGCAUUACACACACAAACAUGGGCACACACCGAUUAUUCCUUCUUGCUCUGGUCUUGAAAAAGAUUUGAAUCCAGAACCAGUUGAUGUAAGUGACCAAAGAUGCACAUUGUUUUUCAUUUGCUCAAAAUUUCCAACAGAUUGCAUUUAGCAUAGCACCAUCCAGCUAAUGGCUACAUUUUAGAAAUAUUUUCCAGUUUGUUAGUUAUGUAUAGGCUUUCAUCAUCAAUCAUUUUUCAUUUGACAUUUGACCUUGAAUAAGACUUGAACACUAACAAAUAGCAGCAAUAGUCACAACAAGAACGAUGACAACAACAACAAGAGAAACAACAGCCCACAGUCAGACAACAACUGGAGAAGACACAUGACACUUUGACUGACAAAUGUGGACGUUUACAUAUUAAAAAGAGGGAAGACUGAGGACACAAGCAGCAGACUGGUGAGACACUUUUGGAAACCUCUCUCGCUACUCCUCUCUGUAGCGCUUAAACUACUUACAGCCACUCACACAGGUUCGGGACCCCCUGCUGAUCAUGAUGCUUCGCCUGGCGCUGUGGCUUCUGCUGCUGGUUCUGCAGGAUUCAUUCCCAGAUUCACGAGCCCAGAGCAGCACAGGCCUGGAGUUCGUCGUUGUCUUGCCAGAAAACGUUGCUUACUACUAUCCACGUGAGCCUCGCUUCACGCUAUACUUCACAUCCUUGCUUCACAAUGCCACAGUGACCCUGAGAGCGGAAGGUAUUCAACUGCACAGCUGGCAAAUGCAGGCUGGAGACGUUGAACAAUUUAA